UACGGAGGGGACUAGCGUUGUUCGGAAUUACUGGGCGUAAAGCGCACGUAGGCGGAUUUGUAAGUCAGGGGUGAAAUCCCGAGGCUCAACCUCGGAACUGCCUUUGAUACUGCAAAUCUCGAGUCCGGAAGAGGUGAGUGGAAUUCCUAGUGUAGAGGUGGAAUGCGUAGAGAUCGGGAAGAACAUCAGUGGCGAAGGCGGUCUGCUGGGCCGUUGCUGACGCUGAGGCGCGACAGCGUGGGGAGCAAACAGG
rnacentral:rRNA from 1 species